rnacentral:rRNA from 1 species
CUACGGGGGGCUGCAGUGGGGAAUAUUGGACAAUGGGGGAAACCCUGAUCCAGCAAUGCCGCGUGUGUGAAGAAGGCCUGCGGGUUGUAAAGCACUUUCGGUUGGGAGGACUGCUUCUAGCACUAAUAUUGUUGGAAGUUGACGUUACCUUCAGAAGAAGCACCGGCUAACUCCGUGCCAGCAGCCGCGGUAAUACGGAGGGUGCAAGCGCGAAUCGGAAUUACUGGGCGGAAAGCGCGCGUAGGCGGCUAGAUCAGUCGGGUGUGAAAGCCCCGGGCUUAACCUGGGAACUGCAUCCGAUACUGUCUAGCUUGAGUACAGGAGAGGAGAGUGGAAUUCCACAUGUAGCGGUGAAAUGCGUAGAUAUGUGGAGGAACACCAAUGGCGAAGGCAGCUCUCUGGCCUGAUACUGACGCUGAGGUGCGAAAGCGUGGGGAGCAAACAGGAUUAGAUACCCGAGUAGUC